rnacentral:rRNA from 1 species
AUACGGAGGGUGCAAGCGUUGUUCGGAAUCACUGGGCGUAAAGGGCGCGCAGGCGGUUUUACAAGUCAGAUGUGAAAGCCCACGGCUCAACCGUGGAAGUGCAUUUGAAACUGGAAGACUUGAGUAUCAGAGGGGAAGGUGGAAUUCCCGGUGUAGAGGUGAAAUUCGUAGAUAUCGGGAGGAAUACCGGUGGCGAAGGCGACUUUCUGGCUGAAUACUGACGCUGAGGCGCGAAAGCGCGGGGAGCAAACAGGAUUAGAAACCCUAGUAGUCC